GUUUUGUUCGCUUUUUACAGAUUUUAUGCAAAAAAGUGUACGUAUCAUUGCAGUGCCACUGUUCCUUGGUUUGUUGUUUAUCGUUGUCUCCAUCUUUUAUUCUUAUUCAGAUUUUGGGAACAGUGUGCUGUCGGAUAGUUUAAUUUUCUGCAAUUCAGGAAGCAGCUUUUUGGACAACCUCCACAGCUAAUCAUCACUAGGCUAACAACUUCUCAGCAACUAAUGUCACUUUUGGUAGACAUCGACAUCUCUUUUUGGUACCCAAAUGAAGCAACGAUUGUAACUAGGUUAGCCUAGGACAAUAUAUUUUUGAUAAGCUGUUUUAACAGCAGUUGUAAUAUAUAUUUGAACAUUACCCGAACAUUUAUAUUAAUGGUAAUGUUAGUCAAGCAAGAUCUAUGUUAGUUUCGAACUAAAUUCUCUGUCCUUUAAGACUUGCACAUUUUCUUCCAAAAU